AGGAGUAUAACUCAGUUGGUAGAGUAGCGGUCUCCAAAACCGCCUGUCGUAGGUUCGAUUCCUACUACUCCUGCCA
rnacentral:tRNA from 1 species